rnacentral:tRNA from 1 species
CCGGGUGUGGCGCAGUUGGUAGCGCGCGUGGUUUGGGACCACGAGGCCGCAGGUUCGAAACCUGUCACUCGGACCA